UACGUAGGGGGGCAAGCGUUGUCCGGAAUUACUGGGCGUAAAGGGCGCGUAGGCGGAUAUUUAAGUUGGAUGUGAAAUCCCUGGGCUUAACCUAGGAACUGCAUCCAAAACUGGAUAUCUAGAGUGCAGUAGAGGGUAGUGGAAUUUCCGGUGUAGCGGUGAAAUGCGUAGAUAUCGGAAGGAACACCAGUGGCGAAGGCGGCUACCUGGACUGACACUGACGCUGAGGCGCGAGAGCGUGGGGAGCAAACAGG
rnacentral:rRNA from 1 species